CACAAAAGAAAGUGACUACAGAACUUUGCCAAGACAAGAGGGUACUAAAACUAUAUAAAGCCUUAUGGAUCCUAUGUGAAGCAAGGCCAUCUGUUGUGGAACAAUCAUUUUGUACACUGUAAAGGCUCGGGGAGCAUUGCAGGAGAGGGAGGAAGAAACAGCACAAGAGCUAGAAUUGCAAUCCUGGACCGCCAGCAGCUGCAGGUGCCGGUGCUGAGUCUGCACAAGAACGGGCCUAUCCACCCUCAGGGAAAAUAUUUACUGUCUUGGGAGUCAGAGAGGCCGGAGCUGAGCUCACAGAGUUCUCCUGCCACUUCAUAGUGCCGCCUUCUCUGAGAGCCUGCCCUCGGGAUCAUGUCCAGCACUGCGACAGCUCUGUGGAAAGACAGCUGUAAACCCACGGUACAGCUGAGGAGCUUGAUCAGCUGUGACUGAGGUCUAUAAAUGAACACACUGAACACCAUCCUGGGUAAUUCUACAUGUUAAUCCCUCUGUGAGUUAUUUUCAUGUGGGCAUUGUGUACUCAAAACCAGAGUUAGUCUCAUGGUUGGAAAAUAGAAUUUAGAAUACAAUAGAAUUUAUUCCACUCCCCCCCCCUGUGUGUGUGUGUGUGUGUGUGUACAGGAAUGCAUGCAUGUGCAGAGGCCACAGGAAGACAUCAGGUGUCCUGUUCUGUCGCUUUCUGCUUAAUUCCCUUAAGAAAGGGUCUCUCCAGGGACUCUUGGCUCAGUCUGGGAGGAGGGGACUGGACCUACCUGGACUGAGUCUACCAGGUUGAUCGCAGU